CUAGAUGAUAUUGGACAUGGAGUAAAGGUGAGUACCCAGAACAUGAAGAUGGGUGGGCUGCCGCGUACAACACCUCCAACUCAGAAGCCCCCUAGUCCCCCUAUGUCAGGGAAAGGGACACUUGGCAGCAGUGGGAGUAGUGGAGGGAGCCACCCAAGUAGUCGGAGCAGCAGUCGAGAGAACAGUGGAAGUGGUAGUGUGGGGGUUCCUAUUGCUGUUCCUACUCCAUCUCCUCCCAGUGUCUUUCCAGGUCAUCCUGUACAGUUCUACAGCAUGAAUAGGCCUGCCUCUCGCCAUACUCCCCCAACAAUAGGGGGCUCGUUGCCCUAUAGACGCCCUCCUUCCAUUACUUCACAAACAAGCCUUCAGAAUCAGAUGAAUGGAGGACCUUUUUAUAGCCAGAAUCCAGUUUCAGAUACACCACCUCCACCGCCACCUGUGGAAGAACCAGUCUUUGAUGAGUCUCCCCCACCU
rnacentral:sRNA from 1 species